ensembl:lncRNA
AUAGUAUUAAUGGGGCUGGAGGAGUGUUGGAGAAGCAGGAAUCGUACUGCAUGGAGUUGAGUGGCACUUAGGCUCUUGAUUAAUAAAGACAAGGCAGCCAGCCCUUCCACAAAAAAGAAAUAAUUUCAUUUGCAGUGGCUGCCUCUUUAAAGGGGUGAACGCCGAAAGCUGGGGUUUUGAACAGUGUUUCGUGGCUGAGCCUGCACAUGCCACGUUGUCCAACGUCCAUGGGGAGACGCUUGAAGAACCCUCUGACCCGUUGCCGACGCAAAAACCAGUUGUGUGUGUGUGUGUGGGACAGAGAGGGAUGGGGAGGGAAGGAUAAAGAGAGAAUGAAAAAGAAAACAAACGCAGACCCGCUCUUCUAAUGAGACAGCUCAGAUUUUUCCCAUCUGGACUUUCCCCUCAGUUUCCCGGAUGUCCUUGAGAAUAAUUUCACUUUUCCCACAUCAUAUGUAAAAUCAGACGUGUGGGUGUGCACCCCUGGGCACGCACCAGCCUUUCCGUCCAGCUCACUUGUAUAAAUGAUUGCACGAUGGGCUGAAUUUUAACGCUCUUGGACAGCCAGAUGAAUUAAAUGAGCCCUUUUCUGCUGAUUCCACUUGGCUUAGCUCAUUUUAUUUUGCUUGCUUUCUUGUUUGGGUGUCGGAUGUCCCAGCCCUCUCAUGUGCACAUACAUUUGGUUUCUGACUAAUAUGAGGUCUCCGUCAGAGAAACAGCCUUUGUCGUUUCAAAUCCAGCAGGUCUUAGACUCGGGUCGUGACUCAGCUACCACAAACUGUAUGCAGAGGAGACCACAAAUUCCUCCGGUCCAUGAUUUGAAAGGUUACCUGGUCUUCUCCUGCUCUUGUUCCACGGAUAACAAAAAUCCUGAGAGAUAAUGCCAGGUCAUCACAACCAUGCACUGGAGCACUGUGUACCUGCAGACCAACACUGGCAACUCUGAAAUGCAUAGCGAGCGCUGGUUAAUGUGUGUGGGACAGAUCUAUCCAGAUAUAUGAGAGAAAUCAUUGCAAUACAUCACUCUUGGCAUUUUACAAUCCCCAUUUGACCAUUUCCCCAAAAAGUUACUUAAAGUGUAUAUUGCUUUACAUUUUUAAAAUUUUGUUUAAAAUAGAAGAACUUUUACAGGCAAGCCUAAAAGAUUAUUUUAGGAGCGAAACUUAUUUGUGAGAUUUCUAGCCUAAGUAAAUAAGAAUCCCAUGGGAACAAAGAAUUUGGGAUACAUUCAAACAAACACUGUAAAGUUUUGAGAAAUGCCAAGUUGUGCGGAGAUCGGUGUGUGUACUACGUGUUUGUAUAGUCAACAUUGUCAUAGCAAUAUGGUAUGCCAGUUAUUAGUUCUGUUCAUUGCAGAUGGCUUCAUUAUGUGUAUUUAAUUUCAGUACUUAAGCAAACAUACAAUAACAAGGCUUAAGAGCUGCUUUAGGAUAUGACGGUUCUGUACGGUCAAAUGAAAUGGAAGGGAAAAGGAAACAACUGAUACUGCUCUGGUUGGAGGUAAAUCUGUAUUGAUGGGAUUAAGCCACUUAGAGGCAUCCCUCCACUUGAAUAGCCCCAAAACCACCAAUUGCUUUGUUUGCGGUAACGAGAAGGUACUGAUCACUAGAGCCUUAAUUUGCCACAGCAGUUAAGUGCUCCAAUUCCUCAGCGCAAUAAUUGCCACAUGUUGAGUGUGCAGAUGUCUAAACACGUGGGAGCACUUCCUUUUCCUAAAGACAAAUGAAGAUUUUCAUUUUGUUUUGUAAACGUGUCAGGAUUUAUCACUUAGUCAUGUGUCAUGCAUUAGGGUGUUUACACAAUACAGCUUUCCACACCCUGGUUCUGGACUUCUAUGAUUUCAACAACAUGGCUGUGGAGUAACGGGGCUUUGCCAAACCU